CUUAUACCCGAUGACACAGUAUAGGGUGUUGUGUAUAUACAUCUGAGAAGAUUGGGUGCCUAAGAAUGAGCCGAAACACAUUAGCUCUUUAUAUAAAGAUGAACAUGGACGGAGAGGCUGCAUGGGCGUGAGAAACCCACAAAAAAAUCUCCUCGUUUAUCUCCACUGCCCGUAGUAUUGUUGACAAAUCUACGAUCUAGAGGAGCGGUAAUCUCCACGCUGAUUGAGAGCAUUCGCUACUCCAUCCGCGAAAACCGGAUGCAUCAUUUCCUGGGUGCAAAUCCGAGAACUACGCCUGCAGAACCUAUUCACAGUAAACGCGUGCACAGUAUAAAUACGGCCAUCAAUCGGAUGUGUGACUCCCUGUGAUAAACUCCACAGAGUAGACCCAUUUUGUAUUUAAACGUUAAUGUUUACAUAUCAAUAGGCGUCAACGAACACUGCUGUUGAUUUUGGUUCGCGUGCAAGAUGAUGAGCGCAAAACAAGCGAAGAUUGAUGCCUACAAGGCAGAGAUCGAGCAACUAAGAAGAGAGACACACACUCACCGUACGCUUGUGUCUGUGACAGUAGCCGGCUUGCAGCAGCACUGCGAGACGCACGCAUCUGAGGACUGGCUUCUUGGGAAUGGAAACCCUCACGACAACCCAUUCAAGCCUCUGAGGCCCAGUAUACUUGUGUCGCCGCCAUGCACCGUAAUCUGACGACCGUUCCUGACGUUACCAUCGCGCAAAUCAAACUGGACAAUCGCAUACUCGUGACGUUCAAGUGGACCGCUAUCUAUCGAGAGCACACUCUUCAACGACAAUUACCUACAGAGCAGCAAACGCCAAUCAGGAAUGGAGCCAGUUGGUGCAAAAACCAUUGCAGCUGCUGCCACCUUUUACCAGUUAAAUUUACAAAUGAUAUGCCGCUCUGACAAAAUAAAAUCGCACACGCGAGUCUUACUUAUUACUGGGGCACGUUUAAAUAUUCCUUACAUUGAGACACAGAGCGCGGUUACAUACUUACGCUAUGUAAAUAAAGAGAUGGAGCGUCGUAACUUGACAGCGUGGCAAUCAUAACCACAGGCUGUUGCCAGCUAUAUAUGUACGCCUCUGCAUAGAUGAAUCAUUCCCCUAACUGCAUAACGCGAGCCGAACGAACAAAGCUGUUUACUGCCAACGCCUUGCACGCAUGGCUCGCGUUAUCCGUGGGUAACCGGUCUCAUCCUCAAACCUAGUCGUCAAGUUUUAGUAACUCAACGUAAGCGUCCGUUUGCAUUUAGCAGAUAUUCGUGGCUGUCCGUGCGGAUGAGUUGUAUAUAUGAUGAGUGGAUAAGUACGUAUAACUAUAUAUAAAAGCGGUCGCAACACGAUCGCUCAAAUUGUUCAGAACUACAGGAGCAGAUGGUAGAAAAUUGAAUAAAAUAUAUAUAAUUAUGUGCACGAAUCGA